GACAGCCACAGGGCUCAGGACAAGGUGGACACUGUGAUCACGGUGACAGCACAGGGCUCAGGACAAGGUGGACGGUGAUCACGGUGACAGCCACAGGGCUCAGGACAAGGUGGACGGUGAUCACGGUGACAGCCACAGGGCUCAGGACAAGGUGGACACUGUGAUCACGGUGACAGCCACAGGGCUGAGGACAAGGUGGACGGUGAUCACGGUGACAGCCACGGGGCUCAGGACAAGGUGGACGGUGAUCACGGUGACAGCCACAGGGCUCAGGACAAGGUGGACACUGUGAUCACGGUGACAGCCACAGGGCUGAGGACAAGGUGGACGGUGAUCACGGUGACAGCCACGGGGCUCAGGACAAGGUGGACGGUGAUCACUGUGACAGCCAGAGGGCUCAGGACAAAGUGGAAGGUGAUCACGGUGACAGCCACAGGGCUCAGGACAAGGUGGACACUGUGAUCACGGUGACAGCCACAGGGCUCAGGACAAGGUGGACGGUGAUCACGGUGACAGCCACAGGGCUCAGGACAAGGUGGACGGUGAUCACGGUGACAGCCAGAGGGCUCAGGACAAGGUGGACAUGGUGACAGCCACGGGGCUCAGGACAAGAUGGACGUGGACAUGGCACAGGGGAGCAUGGAUAACGCUGCCCAUGUGGGAGCUCAGGGAGAUGAUGGAGGCCUGGACUCGACUUCCAACAGAAGCAGAGUGUCCCGGUGGCUUGAGCAGCCCAGGGGUCCGUUCACCUGCAGGUGGGUGCAGUUGACCGCGUUUUAGACUUUGGCCCAGAAAGUAUGCUAUCGGGUCAGCAGAGUUUUCUGCUAAGAUUAAAUCUUCAAUAGUCAUUCAGAAGAGAAUUUAAUAAAAUUCUACAAGAUGGUAGAAAUUACCCCAAAUUUUUUGUCCAAAAAGAUAAUAAUUCAUUUGUAAGCACCUAAGGAAAUAUUAAAAAUAAACUGGCAAACAUGAGAGAAUGUUGAAACUCACUAAUUUUAAAAAUGCAAAUUAAAAUGGAGAACCACCUGUUUAAGGAAUUAAGACAAACUUGGUGUGUGGGGUGCUGUGGAAUGUGCUCCGUGGUCCCAGUCAGGACCUGGUGGGCACAGCCUCUCCUGACAGUGUCUCCAGGCCGUAGGUCACAGAGUCCUGGGGCCAGAGCCCCUGGAAAUCGGACUUUCAGUUAAAAUGCACAGUGUGGGGAGACCAUGAAUAUGAAGCUGGCUGCUGCAGCUUUACUUUGUAAAAGCAGGAAAAAACUUCUAGCCAUCACAGUGACCGCAGAAUGCAGGAGUGUAUGGAGUCUAACUCUGCUCAGUGGACUGUUGUGUAUGUUAAAAGUAAAUAUUAAGCCCAGUUUGGCUCAGUGGAUAGAAUGUCGACCUGUGGACCUAAAGGUCCCGGGUUCGAUUCUGGUCAAGGGCACAUACCUCGGUUGCAGAGUCCUCCCCGGCCUAGGCAGUGGUCAGGACUCGUGCAAGAGGCAACCAAUUGAUUUGUUUCUCUCACAUUGGUGUUUCUCUCUGUCUUUCCCUCUCUCUUCCACUCUCUCUACAAAUCCAUGGAAAAAUAUCCUCGGGUGAGGAUUUAAAAAAAAAAGUAAAUAUUAAAAACUAGCAAAGUGAAUGAGGGCAUGGGCUGCUCCCCCAUCGAUGCUAGGAAUUUGGGGUAAUUUUGCUGGGUAGAGGUGUCGUGACUCUCAUCCUUCCCCAGGGUUGCUGAUGGAGGCGAGACUAUUCCACCUGGGUAGGACGAGGGACCAGCCCACCUGGGUAGGAUGAGGGACCAGCCCACCUGGGUAGGAUGAGGGACCAGCCCACCUGGGUAGGAUGAGGGACCAGCCCACCUGGGUAGGAUGAGGGACCAGCCCACCUGGGUAGGAUGAGGGACCAGCCCACCUGGGUAGGACGAGGGACCAGCCCACCUGGGUAGGAUGAGGGACCAGCCCACCUGGGUAGGACGAGGGACCAGCCCACCUGGGUAGGAUGAGGGACCAGCCCACCUGGGUAGGAUGAGGGACCAGCCCACCUGGGUAGGACGAGGGACCAGCCCA